AGAAGAAAGAGGAGAGAGGAAAGAAAGCUUUAAGGCACAAAUGGCGCAUAAACAUAAAAGUAGAAGAAGCGAUUAGAGCCAAAUUGCGCGUUUCGCCUGCGAAUCUAUCAGCGCAAAUCGCCGUUACUGGGAGAAGUGGGUAUUGGAGUGGAGAGCUGAGUGAGCGAGCGAAUGGGAGAAAUGGUUCAAAUAAGAUCCAGAACGAGAGGAAAUAAAUAAAUGAAUAAAAAAAAACAAAGACACCCGUACGGAAUCGCCUUUUUUUCCUCCGGGUCUCCGGGGCUGUGCGGCGACAGACGCCCGACAAAAAGCAGCUUCUCCCCGACUGUCACAACCCCGCAGGACGCCUCUACAGGACACCGCGGAGGGAGACGGCGAGCAGAGCGCAGGGAGGCGUGUGUCUGCGUGUGUGUGAGAAAAAUGUAAGUCGAAGUUUCGGAGCUCCCAAACUCUGGCGCGAGCGCGUGGAAGUUGUAAUAUCCGACACAAUUUGUCCGCGAGACAGCGAGCGACAGCGCGAGAGCGACAGAGAGAGAGAGAAGGAGAGAGAGCGCGAGAGAAGAGGAAUAUAAAAGAAAAAAAAGAGUGGAAAUGAUAGAAAAGUAAGGAUGCACAUACCUGCUCGGCUCUGUUUUUUUUCUCUUUUGGGUUUUAAUUUUUGUUGUUUUGUUCUUUUUUUUGCUUUUUUUAAAUGGAGGGUCCAGAGGCUUCUUUUUGCGGGGAAGAGGAGCUGCGAGGACGGGCUGAUAGCGGGAGCUUGGCGGCGAGAGAGGAGAAGCCCCCUGAAACGCACGCCACCUAUCUUCACGGGAGGGGAUAAUUGAGGAGAGCCAAACGUGAGCAUCUUUCUGGGCUCAAGUUUUUUUUUCCCCCUCUCUCUCUCUCUCUCUCUCUCUCCACCCUCCCUCCCUCUCUCUCUUCUUCUUCGUCUUCUUUUUUUCCCUUUUUUCUUCUUCUUAUUUUUUUGGAGCGUGAAACCAACUAUGUCGGGCUUCGACACGGAGUAAGAACCAGGCGACAGAUGAUGUCGAAGGAGGAAGACAAGGAACCUGAGCAUGACGAGGACCAGCGAAGCUGCUUCGCCCCCCGUUGCUGUUGCUGCUCAGGGUCCAGAGUGGUUCUGGUUCCGGGUGAAUUGUUGUCACGUGUAAUUUGCUACCACGGUGUAAACCAAGCAGUCACGCCAUAAUCCCCCCACCCCCUUUUUCCUCCUCUUUCACUCUCUCUCUUACACACACACACACACUUGAACCACAGCUCCAACUCUGCCCCCACUGAGUGGCACCUCUCCCACACCCCCACCCCUCCAUCGUCCGUGGGGCCACCACAUAUUCACCGUGAAAACGGAUUACAGUCGGUGUGUGACCUAUAGGGGGACCUUGUGCUUAAUGAAUAUAUUGGUUUCAAUGAAGGGAGGGGAGGGGAAGGGGGGGGUACCCAAAACAACACAUGCAUGAUUCAUCAUUUUGUGUGUGUGCGCAUUACCUGCAGAAUAAAAAGUGUGAGAUAACUGUGCAGGUUUGAAGUGAAAAUGAUCAAAACGUGUGUUUUUUUUAUGGCUUUUUUUUUUCUUUUCCUGAAAUAAAAACCAGAACAUUUCGC